CUUGAUCAAUUAUAAGAGGUCAAGCCUGCCCAGUGACAUUGUUCAACGGCCGCGGUAUCCUAACCGUGCGAAGGUAGCGUAAUCACUUGUCCUUUAAAUAAGGACUAGUAUGAACGGCUUCACGAAGGCUAUACUGUCUCCUUAAUCUAAUCAAUUAAACUAAUCUCCCCGUGAAGAAGCGGGGAUUCAUCUAUAAGACGAGAAGACCCUAUGGAGCUUUAAACAUCUAAGACACUUGAUUUUUACCUACUAAACUUCAUGCAACAUAUCCUUUUGUCUUAAGUUUUAGGUUGGGGUGACCACGGAGAAAAAUUAAACCUCCACGUAGAAAGAAAAUUCUUUUCUAAGCAAAAAGCCACAUCUUAACGCAUCAAUAUAUUGACUUAACUUGACCCAAUUUCUUGCUCAACGAAC
rnacentral:rRNA from 1 species